rnacentral:lncRNA from 1 species
GGGAAUCGGGAUUUUUAAAAGCUCCCCUCGUGGCGGGCCCCGUGGCCGAGUGGUUAAGUUCUCUCGUUCCGCUUCGGAGCGCCGGUUCAGAUCCUGGGCGCAGACAUGGCACCACUCAUCAGGCCAUCCUGUGGAGUCAUCCCACAUGCCACAACUAGAAGGACCCACAACUAAAAUAUACAAAUCAUCUCAAUAUGGUGAGAGAGCAGCUCAUUUACUCCUCUGACUUCGGUGGAACUGGAGUUGUGACAGUGGGGACUGCGAUAAUGCACACUCCCUGAACAACUGGGAGGAUGAGAAAAUGAUUUCAUUAGGAAGAAGAUUCCAAAUUGGAGGGUUAUAUUCAUUGACCUACAUAUCUGCUAAUCUGUGUAAUGGUUUAUGCAGGAAAUUGCAAUUGAAGAAAGAUCUUACAUCAUACCAAGAGCGGAGGUUCCAGAGACGUGAUUUUCAAUUUAUCAAGAUGGGCAAUGGAUACUUUCAGUGUUCCUUGAGUAACAGAAAUGGCUUUUUUAUUGGCUGAUCAAACAGAGGGAUCCCCACAGACACAAGGAUGCUUGAUGAUUGAUUUUCUACAGUCCUCCACCUAACAUAAUUUCUACCACUUACAUCAACAGUUGACUUCCACCCAACACUCUUCCUGAGCAUAUUUUAUUUUCUUUAUAGUACUCAUGAUUUGCCAAAUUAUCUUGUUUAAUACAUUUGUUUGUUCUUGAAAUCUGCCUUCUCCACAAGAAUAUAAACCCCGCAAGGACUGGUACCUGCUAUAUCUCUAUGUCUUUGAAAGUGCUUGGCAUCUAGUAGGGAUGAAAAAUAAUAUUUGUUCAAUGAAUCAUGAUGUGAUCAGCUUGGGGCCUUUAGAUAGUCAAGGUGAUUGUGUCACGGGUUAUUUGGUGACAGCUAUGUUCUUAACACUACAUAUUUUCUCUGAAAAGAAAUUCACCUGGAAAAGAAAAUACCCUAGUACAUUAGGCCGAUAAGUCUGUGCUAGGCAGAUUUCCUCGUCAAAGUGGUCCUCAGAUCAAGGCUCUGUGCCAUCUGUCCAGAGACGUUCCAUUGCUCAGGAGUCAGGGACAAGCACUUGUUACCCCCGAUGCUUUACUUUAAACAAAAUAAAAGCAUGCUGCAACUCCCACCCUAUGUACUCCCAGAGUAAGAUCUAGAAUUACAAAGCUCCAAGAGUUUCCAAUCUCAGUGGAAAAUUGGCUGUCACAUGGAACGAGAUAUAUACUAACUGAUUUUGCCAUGCAAUUGGGUUCU